UGCAGUCGAGGGGUAACAGAGAGUGCUUGCACUCUGCUGACGACCGGCGCACGGGUGAGUAACGCGUAUAGAACCUACCUUUUACUGGAGAAUAACCAGGAGAAAUUCUGACUAAUACUCCAUAGUAUGUAUAAGUUGCAUAGUUUAUACAUUAAAGAUUUAUUGGUAAAAGAUGGCUAUGCGUCCUAUUAGCUAGAUGGUGUGGUAACGGCACACCAUGGCAACGAUAGGUAGGGGCCCUGAGAGGGGGAUCCCCCACACUGGUACUGAGACACGGACCAGACUCCUACGGGAGGCAGCAGUGAGGAAUAUUGGACAAUGGAGGCAACUCUGAUCCAGCCAUGCCGCGUGCAGGAAGACUGCCCUAUGGGUUGUAAACUGCUUUUAUACAGGAAGAAACACUCGGACGUGUCCGAGCUUGACGGUACUGUAAGAAUAAGGAUCGGCUAACUCCGUGCCAGCAGCCGCGGUAAUACGGAGGAUCCAAGCGUUAUCCGGAAUCAUUGGGUUUAAAGGGUCCGUAGGUGGAUAAUUAAGUCAGAGGUGAAAUCCUGCAGCUCAACUGUAGAAUUGCCUUUGAUACUGGUUAUCUUGAGUUAUUAUGAAGUAGUUAGAAUAUGUAGUGUAGCGGUGAAAUGCAUAGAUAUUACAUAGAAUACCAAUUGCGAAGGCAGAUUACUAAUAAUCAACUGACACUGAUGGACGAAAGCGUGGGGAGCGAACAGGAUUAGAUACCCUGGUAGUCCACGCCGUAAACGAUGGUCACUAGCUGUUCGGACUUCGGUUUGAGUGGCUAAGCGAAAGUGAUAAGUGACCCACCUGGGGAGUACGUUCGCAAGAAUGAAACUCAAAGGAAUUGACGGGGGCCCGCACAGCGUUGAGCAUGUGAUUACUCGAUGAUGCAGUCGAGUGCAGUCGAGUGCAGUCGAGUGCAGUCGAGUGCAGUCGAGUA
rnacentral:rRNA from 1 species